rnacentral:rRNA from 1 species
UACGGGGGGGGCAAGCGUUGUUCGGAAUUACUGGGCGUAAAGGGCUCGUAGGUGGCCAACUAAGUCAGACGUGAAAUCCCUCAGCUUAACUGGGGAACUGCGUCUGAUACUGGAUGGCUUGAGAUUGGGAGAGGGAUGCGGAAUUCCAGGUGUAGCGGUGAAAUGCGUAGAUAUCUGAAGGAACACCAGUGGCGAAAGCGGCUUCCUGGUCCAGUACCGACGUUCAGGCACGAAAGCGUGGGGAGCAAACAGG